ACUCCACGAGGCCUGGACUUGUCUACUGUCUUCACCAUUGCCUUCUUAGCGCCUAGGACAGAGUGCUUGCUGGAUGAACAAAAACACCGAGGCAGCGCAGGAGGAGGGACCGCUGGGGGAGACCCUGAGGAGUGAAAGGUCAUGGCAUGCUCUGCAAUGGCAGCUCAAAGCAGAGGGGACGUUUGAGCCACAAGAUCCAAGAGCCCGGGACACAGAAGUCCUUGCAUGGGAAGGGCUGGCUGUCACACAGGAGUGUUAUGUGAGUGAGAAAUAAAGGUUGAGAUCAUUACACCA